CCUACGGGAGGCAGCAGUGAGGAAUAUUGGUCAAUGGACGAGAGUCUGAACCAGCCAAGUAGCGUGAAGGAUGACUGCCCUAUGGGUUGUAAACUUCUUUUAUAUGGGAAUAAAAUGUUCCACGUGUGGGAUUUUGUAUGUACCAUAUGAAUAAGGAUCGGCUAACUCCGUUCCAGCAGCCGCGGUAAUACGGAGGAUCCGAGCGUUAUCCGGAUUUAUUGGGUUUAAAGGGAGCGUAGGUGGAUUGUUAAGUCAGUUGUGAAAGUUUGCGGCUCAACCGUAAAAUUGCAGUUGAAACUGACAGUCUUGAGUACAGUAGAGGUGGGCGGAAUUCGUGGUGUAGCGGUGAAAUGCUUAGAUAUCACGAAGAACUCCGAUUGCGAAGGCAGUUCACUGGACUGCAACUGACACUGAGGCUCGAAAGUGUGGGUAUCAAACAGGAUUAGAUACCCGAGUAGUC
rnacentral:rRNA from 1 species